CGUGGGUAACCUGCCCAAGAGAUCGGGAUAACACCUGGAAACAGAUGCUAAUACCGGAUAACAACAGAUGAUGCCUAUCAACUGUUUAAAAGAUGGUUCUGCUAUCACUCUUGGAUGGACCUGCGGUGCAUUAGCUAGUUGGUAGGGUAACGGCCUACCAAGGCGAUGAUGUAUAGCCGAGUUGAGAGACUGAUCGGCCACAUUGGGACUGAGACACGGCCCAAACUCCUACGGGAGGCAGCAGCC
rnacentral:rRNA from 1 species